rnacentral:rRNA from 1 species
GGUUGUAAAGUACUUUCAGUUGUGAGGAAGGGUAUGUAGUUAAUAGCUGCGCAUCUUGACGUUAGCAACAGAAGAAGCACCGGCUAACUCCGUGCCAGCAGCCGCGGUAAUACGGAGGGUGCGAGCGUUAAUCGGAAUUACUGGGCGUAAAGCGCAUGCAGGUGGUUCAUUAAGUCAGAUGUGAAAGCCCGGGGCUCAACCUCGGAGCUGCAUUUGAAACUGGUGAACUAGAGUGCUGUAGAGGGGGGUAGAAUUUCAGGUGUAGCGGUGAAAUGCGUAGAGAUCUGAAGGAAUACCAGUGGCGAAGGCGGCCCCCUGGACAGACACUGACACUCAGAUGCGAAAGCGUGGGGAGCAAACAGGAUUAGAUACCCUGGUAGUCCACGCCGUAAACGAUGUCUACUUGGAGGUUGUGGCCUUGAGCCGUGGCUUUCGGAGCUAACGCGUUAAGUAGACCGCCUGGGGAGUACGGUCGCAAGAUUAAAACUCAAAUGAAUUGACGG